CUGGCCCCUCAGGCAAUAGGAGCAGUAGCCACUAAAUUGGCCCCUCCCCACCUGAAACCUUCCUGGUGCCUCCAUCAGCCUCUUAGAGCAAAAAUCAGCACAGAGUACUGGUUCUGGGGAAGCGAAGUGAGAACAGCCCCGCAGAUAAGCCCAGGGAGCCUCGCUGGCCUGCAAUGCCCACCUGCCCACCACCAGCCUGGUUCUCUCUUCUUGCUGGCCUGGAUCCUUCCCUUUUGUACCAAAACCGCAGGCAGAGGAAAGGCAAAGAUUUGCCUGAAGCAAAUACAGCAAAUCCUUUCACAAAUACACCCCCUCCCCCGCCCCCCAGAAAGCUGACUGAGAUACCAGGGAGAGGCCUACUUGAUUAGAUUUCUUUGGGGUCUGUGGCCUAAUUUCAUUGCAUAUCUUAGCUUGAGGUUCCUAUAGUGACUGUAGCAUGUUUGAUUUCUCCAAGCCGUUCUUGGGCUGGUGCAUAAAUUCUCAUCUCUGGAUAUUCUCGUAAGACCCUUGUAAGCUAUAUUCCUGAGGUCCCUGGUCCUGCAGACUAUGUUCCUAUUCUAGCCUCCUCAUUCCCCAGUGCUGUGUCCCCCUGCAAGUCACUUCGCCUCCCCAGGCCUCAGUUUCUCCACCUGUAAAAAUGGGGAUAAUAGCUGUCCCGACUUCUUAGGGUUUUUUUUGAGUGUCCAAUGAGGUCAACUAUCUGAAGCCUCAGAUCCAGUCCCAGGCAUGCAGUAGGUCUUUAAUAAGUGUUAGAAACAAUUAGCUCUCAGCUGGAAGAUGAGUUUGGUACACUGGUAAAAAUUAGCCGGAGUUGGGGGUGCGAAUCCCCUUUGUGAGAGGGGCUUGGUCUAGAUACCAUGUUUUGCCCUUUCUGGCCCCUGAGUCAGGGAGUCUCAAACUUUACUGAGCUUUACGGGAGGGAGCUGUGAAAUGCAGAGCCCCAGGCCCUGGGCUGAGAGAGCCUGAUUCGGUAGGUCUGGAGAGGAACGUGCAAUUGAACAACCUCUCACUGCCUCUGCCUCCCCUCCCCUCAAGCUGGGAAUAGAUGUUCCUGAACCAGAAGCUCAGACCCAGAAAUGUGAAGCCAAACCAGAGAGAACCGGCCCCUGCCCCCAGGGAGCUCGCCGCCUGCUAGGGGGUGUUCCCGAAGGGUCAGUUGAGAAGCCUGAGUUCUGGAAUGAGCAGGGACAGCUGUGGGAAUUUAAAAGGUCAGAGGAGACCUACCUCCUAGCACUGUGUGGUUGUUGUCACAAGACAGAAAGUCUCCCAGGCUGGAGCCUUGGGGCAUGAAGGCCUGGGGAGGGAGGGGCGCAGGCUGGUCGUGACCCUGUCUGUGCUGGGGCGGGGACACGUGGUAGAUGAGGCCGUAAGGUGGAAUUUGCACUGAGGCGGUUCAGUGUUGCCUGUGGGCUCAGCUUUAUCCUUUCAAGCUGUGUGACCUUGGGCGGGCAACUUCCCCCUUCCUAAGCUUUAUUUCCACCUCUGCAAAGGGACGCCAAUGCCACCAGCCGCCCGCGGUGGUGAUUUACCGAGAAGGGAGGAGGCAAUAUGGAACGCAGAGCCCACGUGUGCCCAGCAUUUGGCAAGUACUCGGGGAAGGAAUUAGGAAGGGCAGGAGUUACAUCAUUCACUUCUUUAUACAGCUGAGAAAACAAGCAGAGGAGGUUCAGCGAGGUGAGGCCGGUUGCCCAAGGUCACACAGCCUGUAGCGGGCCAGGGGCCCGGGCCAGGCUGUCCGACCUGCGCUCUAAUCACUGAGCCCCCCGGCCCGAACCUGCCCCCUCCCCGUUGCUUUGCCCCGGUCUCCGUGGCCCUUGGGCGCCGGAAGGCCGCGUGGAGGCCGCGGAGACCAGUGGCAGGGCCAGGGCCUAGCCCGCGGGGCGGGAGGGGUUAACGGGCUCCGCCGCAUUGGGCCGGCCUCCGGGGGAAUCAGCCAAUGGGCGAGCGCCGCGAUGAGAUGAGGAAUCUGAGACCCAGGGAGCCUAAGUAACCUGCCCACGGUCGCAGAGCCAGCAAGUGGAGGAGCCCCGACGUGAAGCCCCAGAAGCUGGCUCUAGCCCCAAUAAUUACCAGUGGUACAAAUAUUAAACGCUUACUGAAUACCUGGGGCUGUGAUCAGCACUUUACAGCAGAUCUGUCCUCAUCUUCAGCCACGCCUCCCUUCUGCAGAGUCAUUUUUGAUUCUGCACCACCACCACCCCCCUCCCCAGCUGGAGAUGGAAGGAGGAUGCUGGCCAUUCAUUCCUCAUCCAGGCCAUCGAUGGAAAUGUCAGACCGCGCAAGUCCACGCCUGAACAGCCCUCGUGGCCGCCGGGCGCUGACGCUGGCAGAUCCAUUGAUGAGCUGGGCGCCUGCCACCUCUGGGUCUGCCUCAGAGCGACGCGGCCACAGGCCUGGCUCGUGGCUUCUCCGGAGUUGACUCCGAAUGCACAGCGUGGGCCUAAUAGGGAGCUGGGGGCAAGCGCACACAGCACGCCCACGUCCACGGGCUGGCGCAGGAGGAAAACAGGGUCAGGCAGGUGACAUAAGACAGAUGGGGAUUCCGGGGGGACAGGCUGGAUGGUGUAGCCCUAAUGGUGAAGACCUGGGUCACACAGGCCUGUCAUCCCUGACCCCAAAUCCCUGGGCAGAAGGUUCGAGAACUCGGAAUUUUUCCAGUUGUAGAAAGAUGAUCUGACACGUAUACCGCCUAUUUCCUAACACCCCCCAAGGAGGUGUGGGGCAAACCCUGCAAUCAAACAAGUUAAUAUGUCUGCAGCAGAGCUGACUCGCCAAAUCCCAGUUCCUCGACUUGCCACCGGGGCCGUGGUGCCCAGCUCCCGGGGUGGUCCCGAGAAUUUGAUGCCUGCCGGGCCUCCGACGCAGGUGCAUGUCCUGCCCCCGCCCUUUGCACUUACUGCUCCUUUCCGGGACAUUCCUCUCCAGGAUGGCUUUCUCACUUCCACGCGGGCUCUGCUCAAACGCCACCCACCUCCUCAGCGAGGCUCGCCCUGGCCGUGCCCGCCUCCUCCCGCCCCCUCUCGCUCUCCUUCCUCUUCCUUCUCAGCACCUACCACCUGACCUCUAACUUAAUCAAUAACUCAUUUAUCCGUUGCCUGCUCUCCCUCGGUGGAGUCUGGGCCUCUCGAGGGCAGGACUCCUUUCUGUCCCUCCAGCACCUAGGACAGUACCCGCGCAGGUGGGCCCUCCCAGUCUUGGUUCGGGAACAACAAACAGUCUGUUCAAGUGCCCAGCACAUCAUCAGAAAGCCUCAAUAAAGCCGAGCUGGUACCAUCACCA